rnacentral:rRNA from 2 species
GGUUAAGCGACUAAGCGUACACGGUGGAUGCCCUGGCAGUCAGAGGCGAUGAAGGGCGUGCUAAUCUGCGAUAAGCGCCGGUAAGGUGAUAUGAACCGUUAUAACCGGCGAUACCCGAAUGGGGAAACCCAGUGUGACUCGUCACACUAUCAUUAACUGAAUCCAUAGGUUAAUGAGGCGAACCGGGGGAACUGAAACAUCUAAGUACCCCGAGGAAAAGAAAUCAACCGAGAUUCCCCCAGUAGCGGCGAGCGAACGGGGAGGAGCCCAGAGCCUGAAUCAGCAUGUGUGUUAGUGGAAGCGUCUGGAAAGGCGCGCGAUACAGGGUGACAGCCCCGUACACAAAAGCGCAUGUGCUGUGAGCUCGAUGAGUAGGGCGGGACACGUGGUAUCCUGUCUGAAUAUGGGGGGACCAUCCUCCAAGGCUAAAUACUCCUGACUGACCGAUAGUGAACCAGUACCGUGAGGGAAAGGCGAAAAGAACCCCGGCGAGGGGAGUGAAAAAGAACCUGAAACCGUGUACGUACAAGCAGUGGGAGCACCCUUCGGGGUGUGACUGCGUACCUUUUGUAUAAUGGGUCAGCGACUUAUAUUCUGUAGCAAGGUUAACCGAAUAGGGGAGCCGGAGGGAAACCGAGUCUUAAUUGGGCGUUAAGUUGCAGGGUAUAGACCCGAAACCCGGUGAUCUAGCCAUGGGCAGGUUGAAGGUUGGGUAACACUAACUGGAGGACCGAACCGACUAAUGUUGAAAAAUUAGCGGAUGACCUGUGGCUGGGGGUGAAAGGCCAAUCAAACCGGGAGAUAGCUGGUUCUCCCCGAAAGCUAUUUAGGUAGCGCCUCGUGAAUUCAUCUCCGGGGGUAGAGCACUGUUUCGGCUAGGGGGCCAUCCCGGCUUACCAACCCGAUGCAAACUGCGAAUACCGGAGAAUGUUAUCACGGGAGACACACGGCGGGUGCUAACGUCCGUCGUGAAGAGGGAAACAACCCAGACCGCCAGCUAAGGUCCCAAAGUCAUGGUUAAGUGGGAAACGAUGUGGGAAGGCCCAGACAGCCAGGAUGUUGGCUUAGAAGCAGCCAUCAUUUAAAGAAAGCGUAAUAGCUCACUGGUCGAGUCGGCCUGCGCGGAAGAUGUAACGGGGCUAAACCAUGCACCGAAGCUGCGGCAGCGACACUAUGUGUUGUUGGGUAGGGGAGCGUUCUGUAAGCCUGUGAAGGUGUGUCGUGAGGCAUGCUGGAGGUAUCAGAAGUGCGAAUGCUGACAUAAGUAACGAUAAAGCGGGUGAAAAGCCCGCUCGCCGGAAGACCAAGGGUUCCUGUCCAACGUUAAUCGGGGCAGGGUGAGUCGACCCCUAAGGCGAGGCCGAAAGGCGUAGUCGAUGGGAAACGGGUUAAUAUUCCCGUACUUGGUGUUACUGCGAAGGGGGGACGGAGAAGGCUAUGUUGGCCGGGCGACGGUUGUCCCGGUUUAAGCGUGUAGGUGUGUGUUCCAGGUAAAUCCGGUUCACUUUAACACUGAGGCGUGACGACGAGGCACUACGGUGCUGAAGCAACAAAUGCCCUGCUUCCAGGAAAAGCCUCUAAGCAUCAGGUAACAUCAAAUCGUACCCCAAACCGACACAGGUGGUCAGGUAGAGAAUACCAAGGCGCUUGAGAGAACUCGGGUGAAGGAACUAGGCAAAAUGGUGCCGUAACUUCGGGAGAAGGCACGCUGACACGUAGGUGAAGUGAUUUACUCACGGAGCUGAAGUCAGUCGAAGAUACCAGCUGGCUGCAACUGUUUAUUAAAAACACAGCACUGUGCAAACACGAAAGUGGACGUAUACGGUGUGACGCCUGCCCGGUGCCGGAAGGUUAAUUGAUGGGGUCAGCGCAAGCGAAGCUCCUGAUCGAAGCCCCGGUAAACGGCGGCCGUAACUAUAACGGUCCUAAGGUAGCGAAAUUCCUUGUCGGGUAAGUUCCGACCUGCACGAAUGGCGUAAUGAUGGCCAGGCUGUCUCCACCCGAGACUCAGUGAAAUUGAACUCGCUGUGAAGAUGCAGUGUACCCGCGGCAAGACGGAAAGACCCCGUGAACCUUUACUAUAGCUUGACACUGAACAUUGAGCCUUGAUGUGUAGGAUAGGUGGGAGGCUUUGAAGCGUGGACGCCAGUCUGCGUGGAGCCGACCUUGAAAUACCACCCUUUAAUGUUUGAUGUUCUAACGUGGACCCGUAAUCCGGGUUGCGGACAGUGUCUGGUGGGUAGUUUGACUGGGGCGGUCUCCUCCUAAAGAGUAACGGAGGAGCACGAAGGUUGGCUAAUCCUGGUCGGACAUCAGGAGGUUAGUGCAAUGGCAUAAGCCAGCUUGACUGCGAGCGUGACGGCGCGAGCAGGUGCGAAAGCAGGUCAUAGUGAUCCGGUGGUUCUGAAUGGAAGGGCCAUCGCUCAACGGAUAAAAGGUACUCCGGGGAUAACAGGCUGAUACCGCCCAAGAGUUCAUAUCGACGGCGGUGUUUGGCACCUCGAUGUCGGCUCAUCACAUCCUGGGGCUGAAGUAGGUCCCAAGGGUAUGGCUGUUCGCCAUUUAAAGUGGUACGCGAGCUGGGUUUAGAACGUCGUGAGACAGUUCGGUCCCUAUCUGCCGUGGGCGCUGGAGAACUGAGGGGGGCUGCUCCUAGUACGAGAGGACCGGAGUGGACGCAUCACUGGUGUUCGGGUUGUCAUGCCAAUGGCACUGCCCGGUAGCUAAAUGCGGAAGAGAUAAGUGCUGAAAGCAUCUAAGCACGAAACUUGCCCCGAGAUGAGUUCUCCCUGAGACUUAGAGUCUCCUGAAGGAACGUUGAAGACGACGACGUUGAUAGGCCGGGUGUGUAAGCGCAGCGAUGCGUUGAGCUAACCGGUACUAAUGAACCGUGAGGCUUAACCUU